GGUGCCACUUUCUGACCUAAGGCUUUGGCAGUCAAACUCAGGUGGAACCAAAGGUUCCAAUUCAGGUUUGGGGUUGAAAACCUUGUGUCACUUUUGUAAUGGAACUGUUUCUGGGGUGUGUGCCUAACCACCACUAGAAAUAGACUGUGUUACUACGGAAACUCUUCAUACCAUGUGAAGAAUCAUGUAGUAUUGAACAUUAUGGUGAUGGAGGGAAGGUACCACAGAAAGGUUGUUUCAGCUGGCCUCUAGACUGUGCUUCACAAAACCUUCACUGACUAUUGGACUGCAUCUUGAUAAUCCCAUAGUGACCAUGGCAACCAUGUUUAUCUUUCACAGGACCACUACAUUCAUCUCCCUCAGAUUAAGGCCCUAUUGCUUCAGCUGUUGACUGGAAUUAUCUGACAGAAUUCACCUUAUUUUCUUCACUGCUUUAGUUCACCUUUACAGAUGACAUUUUUCAAACAAUAAAAUGCUCUCCACUGCUA